rnacentral:rRNA from 1 species
AUGCUGACAAAGGCGCAAUGGAUCGCCCUGUCGAAAGAAAAGCAAGGCGGAUCCACAAGCAGUGGCAAGAAGAAGGGGAAGGGGAAGCAGCACUCGGUGAGAAAGAACUUCACCAACUCGGACGACGAGGAUGCGCCUGCACCACCGAGGAGGAAGUUUUACAUCAGAAAAGUGAGGUGUCAUAAGUGUGGCCUCCUCGGUCACUUCAAGGCUAACUGCGAGGAAGCACCAAUGCAACGAGCACUCAUGGCCGAGGAAGGAGACGACGGGGAUAUGAUGCUGAUGUGUGAGCUAGUGGACGAAGAGGAUCCAGAUUAUCACGAUCAGCUGGAGACAAGUCCGGUGAGUGCGUCUGUGUCAGUAGAACCAGGCGAAGUUGUGGCGCCAAAAGACCAUGACCCAAGGCAUGACGAUGUGAUUACGUCAGUAAACCCAGGUGAAGUCGUGGUGCCAGAAGACCAUGACAGAUGGCGUGACGGUGUGGUCACGUUAGAAGCAGGCGAAGAAGUGGCGCCAGAAGUCCACGACACAAUACGUGAUGAUGUGGUCACGCUAGAAGACGGCAAAGACGUGUCACUAGAAGAACACGUUGCAGGGCGUGACAGAGUGGUUGCACACGAAGAUGGCGAAUACGUUUCGCCAGAAGAACACGGUUCGAGGCAAGAUGCGUCUCCAGUAGCUGCUGGGUUGCAUGCAAGCGGAGAUGCACUGGGCGACGAGCUCAAUGGCAGCAUCAACUUGCUAGGCAGCGCACAAGCAUGUGAGUGCACUAGCUGGCCACAUGGGCCACGAUCAAGCCAAUAA